GGAAAGCAUAUUGUGCAGUGUGUGUGAGGGUGUUGUGUGUGUAUGUGAGGGGUGCAGUGUGUGUGAGGUGUGUAGUGUGUUAGUGAUGGGUGCUGUGUUUGCGUGAGGGUGCUAUGUGGGUAAGGGUGCUGUGUGUGUGUUCUGUGUGUGAUUGGGUGCUGUGUUUGCGUGAGGGUGCCAUGUGCGUUUGAGGAAGCUGUGUGUGUCAGUGGUGCAGUGUGUGUGUGUGUGUUGGUGUUGUAAGUGUUAAGGGUGCAGUGAGUGUGUGCUGUGCGUGUCAGAGGUGCAGUGAGUGUGUGCUGUGCGUGUCAGGGGUGCAG